rnacentral:lncRNA from 1 species
CCCAUGACCUGCCCUGGUUCUAUGCUGCAUCUCCACCACCUGCUGCCCACCCAGGGCUGUGGGACCUCCUGCUGCCACCUGGCCACCCCCGCCCUGCCCCCCGCACCGUGCAGCUCUGCUGUGCCGGCCCCUGUGUGAGGCAUCCACCUCCUGCCAGCUGGCCUGCCGCAUGCUCAGGUCGGGCCUGUGUGUGGCCGCCUCCUGCGGGUCCUCCAGGUGCUGCCCGCCCUUCUGCCCCUUCCCUGGCCUGCAGACCUGUGACCUGCCACACC